rfam:Ophiophagus hannah scaffold142.1, whole genome shotgun sequence.
UGCGAGACUCUGUGUGAUAUGUUUGAUAUAUUAGGUUGUAAUUUAGCCCAACUAUAUAUCAAACAUUCCUACGGUGUCUUGCU